GAUGAACGCUGGCGGCGUGCCUAAUACAUGCAAGUCGAGCGAACAGACCAGGAGCUUGCUCCUCCGACGUUAGCGGCGGACGGGUGAGUAACACGUGGAUACCCUAUCUAUAAGACUGGGAUAACUUAGGGAAACCGGAGCUAAUACGGGAUAAUAUAUUGAACCGCAUGGUUCAAUCGUGAACGACGGUUUUGCUGUCACUUAUAGAUGGAUCCGAGCCGCAUUAGCUAGUUGGUAAGGUAACGGCUUACCAAGGCAACGAUGCGUAGCCGACCUGAGAGGGUGAUCCGCCACACUGGAUCUGAGACACGGCCCAGACUCCGACGGGAAGCAGCAGUAGGGAAUCCUCCGCAAUGGGCGAGAGCCUGACGGAGCAACGCCGCGGGAAUGAUGAAGGUCUUCGGAUCGGAAAGCGCUGUUAUUCGGGAAGAACAAAUGUGUAAGUAACUAUGCACGUCUUGACGGUACCUAAUCAGAAAGCCACGGCUAACUACGUG
rnacentral:rRNA from 1 species